rnacentral:rRNA from 1 species
UUCCGGUUGAUCCUGCCGGAAGUCACCGCUAUUGGGAUCCGAUUAAGCCAUGCGAGUCGAGAGGGUUCGGCCCUCGGCAGACGGCUCAGUAACACGUGGAUAAUCUGCCCUUAGGUGGAGGAUGACCUCGGGAAACUGAGAAUAAUACUCCAUAGAUUUAAGAGGCUGGAAUGCGCUUAAAUUGAAAGCUCCGACGCCUAAGGAUGAGUCUGCGGACUAUCAGGUAGUAGUCAGGGUAAGGACCUGACAAGCCUACGACGGAUACGGGUUGUGAGAGCAAUAACCCGGAGAUGAUAUCUGAGACACGAUAUCAGGCCCUACGGGGCGCAGCAGGCGCGAAACCUUCACAAUGUGCGAAAGCGCGAUGAGGGGAUCCCAAGUGCUUGCUCGUCAGAGUAAGCUGUUUUUUUGUUUAAAAAGCAAAGAGAGAAAGGGCUGGGUAAGACGGGUGCCAGCCGCCGCGGUAAUACCUGCAGCUCAAGUGGUGACCGCUAUUAUUGGGCCUAAAACAUCCGUAGCCGGCUGAGUAAAUGCUUGGGUAAAUCGCGUAGCUUAACUAUACGAAUUCCGAGUAGACUGCUCAGCUUGAGACCGGGAGAAGCUAGAGGUACUCCUGGGGUAGAGGUGAAAUUCUGUAAUCCUGGGGGGACCACCAGUGGCGAAGGCGUCUAGCUAGAACGGGUCUGACGGUGAGGGAUGAAACCCUGGGGCGCAAACCGGAUUAGAUACCCGGGUAGUCCAGGGCGCAAACGCUGCUUGCUUGAUGUUAGCUGGGCUCCGAGCUCAGCUAGUGUCGGAGAGAAGUUGUUAAGCAAGCUGCCUGGGAAGUACGAUCGCAGAUUGAAACUUAAAGGAAUUGGCGGGGAGCACAGCACGGGUGGAGCGUGCGUUAAUGGAAUCACGCGA